rnacentral:lncRNA from 1 species
UAGAUAUUACACGAUACGUGGAACUUACAAAUUGUCCAGAGGUCAUGUUGAUGCAGCCCUGCCAACUCGUACGAACUCGUGAAAAGAAAAAGGGCAUGGCGAAGUCGCCGACUUUAAAAUAAGGUACGUGGAAAAGUAGAUCUGUAUUGAUGAUUGAUGUGUUAUUUUACAAGCCUCACGAGGCACCUAUUUAUACUCUGUUACAACUGAUUUCCUAACUGACUAUGAUUUUAUCUCUAAUUCAAAAUAAUAAAAUAUUUACACACAGAUACAGCUUGCAUUCGGAGUCGGACACUACUCAACUUUCCUAUGGGCCAAUCCUCAUCUUCAUUUGGUCACCGUCCUAGCCCACUUUAGGCCCACAUCGGCCAAGCUUCUCUGACUCUCAAUCGGCUAGUCUUCAUCGAAUCCAUCACCUAAUCGGCCGAAACAUUGUAGCUCUAUCGGCCGAUUCCCCAAGCCAUAGCUUCUUGCUUAUCCGCAUCGGCCACUUUUCUCUCAUUGACGCCGACCUUAACAUGUGUCAAAAACCGACGUCAACACAUGCCCCCCAGUUUUGGAGUGAAACAUAACUUUUGCUCUGAAAUUUUGUCAACUCCGAUCCCUUCCUUCGAAGAAAGUGCAACAAUAAAUGCGGCAAAACCCUUUUCGCUCCGGAUUCUUCUCUUUGAUGAUUGCAAUUUUUUGAAUAGAGCGCCCGCAGGCAACCGCCUUUUUCGAAAUCUGUGCAGAUAACGCAGUAAAAAUUCCGCAUUUACCCUUCUCUCAAAUCGUUCUCUAAAUACUCAUCUCCUCCACCACAUCUUCUUCUCCAGAUGAAAAAGUUUCCCAUCCGGCGAAUCAUCUCCCAGCACACUACAACGCCCCUGCUUGUUCCACCUCUAGGUGCAUUUCAGUGCUUCCCGGUGACCUUCUCCCAUCUCUUCAUCAAUCGCGCCAGGCCUUCAAACCCUAAUGGCGGUUUCUUCAGCCACCAUGGCUUUCAUCCCGGAGGUACAUCCCCUAAAAUUCUCUCCUUUUUGAAUCUUCACCGUUCCGCGAUUCUUGGAUCUGUUCUUAGUCUUUCUCAUAUCUUCUCA